rnacentral:rRNA from 1 species
AUUGAACGCUGGCGGCAGGCCUAACACAUGCAAGUCGAGCGGAUGAAGGGAGCUUGCUCGUGGAUUCAGCGGCGGACGGGUGAGUAAUGCCUAGGAAUCUGCCUGGUAGUUGGUUAUAACGUCCUGAAACGGGCGCUAAUACCGCAUACGUCCUGAGGGAGAAAGUGGGGGAUCUUCGGACCUCACGCUAUCAGAUGAUCCUAGGUCGGAUUAGCUAGUUGGUGGGGUAAAGGCCUACCAAGGCGACGAUCCGUAACUGGUCUGAGAGGAUGAGCAGUCACGCUGGAACUGAGACACGGUCCAGACUCCUACGGGAGGCAGCAGUGGGGAAUAUUGGACAAAGGGCGAAAGCCUGAUCCAGCCAUGCCGCGUGUGUGAAGAAGGUCUUCGGAUUGUAAAGCCCUUUAAGUUGGGAGGAAGGGCAGUAAGUUAAUACCUUGCUGUUUUGACGUUACCAAAAGAAUAAGCACCGGCUAACUUCGUG